UGUUUGGAUCUGAUGAUUGGAAAACGAGCAGCAACGCCAUUUCGAUUUUGAGGAAGGGCGAGGAGGCACCAGCAAUGCGGGAAGGACUGAACCCCGGUGCUGCAGCUUUAGCUCCCCAGCACAUGCUCCGUCCCCGGGAGGAGGACAGCCAAGGGAAUCUGGAGCUUGUUGGAAAACAAGGAAAUUAAGGACUUCCUUUAAAGGAAAACGAAGUACAUAAGAGCUGGCAAGAAGAGACAUGGUUUGGGUGUGAUCGAUGUGCAAAAUCCUAAACGCCUUUAUUGAUGAUAUAAGCUGAUGCUGUCCUUGGGGUGAUGACCAGUUCCUCCAAAUCCUGAGGACAACUUCUCAGGGAAGAGUGGAAGACAGGAAAUCCCCACUACUGGAAGCAUGAGAGACAUAGCAUUCCACUCUCACAAAGAAUUCACAUCAAAUGAAGACGAUAUGAGGCCAGGAUUUUGUUUUCCCUGUUGCUAAGGUGGCGGGAAAACAGCAGCAGUGAUAAGUAGCUGUAAUUGCUCCAACCUUUG